rnacentral:rRNA from 1 species
CGGGGUGAGUAAUGUCUGGGAAACUGCCCGAUGGAGGGGGAUAACUACUGGAAACGGUAGCUAAUACCGCAUAACGUCGCAAGACCAAAGAGGGGGACCUUAGGGCCUCUUGCCAUCGGAUGUGCCCAGAUGGGAUUAGCUAGUAGGUGAGGUAAUGGCUCACCUAGGCGACGAUCCCUAGCUGGUCUGAGAGGAUGACCAGCCACACUGGAACUGAGACACGGUCCAG